UAAAUUUUCAUUCAAAGUGAGAUUGGGCACAACCCACUUUGCUUUUCUUCUAUCUUCUAGGGUUUUUUCAGAAGGGACCCGAAUGAAAGACUAGAAACUUACAAGACGAUCGACGGGUAGAAGUAGAACAAGUACGGCGAGAAGAUUACGAUAUCUUUUCCAAACGAUAUGCGAUGGAAGGCAAUCAGAAGAAUAACAAACAGGUAAUCAUUGGUAAUUUUGUGGGGUUUUGAGAGGUUCGAUCUGCUUCGGAUGCUACGAUUUUUGCAAAAAAGUUUAAAGGAAAUGAGAGACUUACAAUUUCCGGUACAAGUAUAUAAUUGAUCUAAAGAGACUUAGACGAAAGGCUAGACUAGGCUCUGUUUCAAAGCAGAACAGAGAUGCAAGAUUUUGGAUUGGAUGACUUACCUGUCAGGUACCUUGUUUACAAUUUAAUAUGUGAUCUUAUAUAUACUUGUAGGUUCUGUUGACUUAAAAAGUAAGUGAACAUUAUCAUGUAUUAUUUCUAGGGUUAUUUAUUUUAGGCAUAAAAUUGUGUUAUGGCUUUAUCUACAGGAAUGAUAUAUGUUUUCUUUUAUUGUCUACCUCUAUUAUUUUUAACUUUUCUUUAUUCAUUUUAUUAUUAUUAAUUCUUAUUAUUUUUUAUUAUUUUAUUUUAUUUUUUAGAUUCCUCAAUUGAGAUAGAUAUGCCUAUGUUACAGGCACUAUUCUGAAAUUAUAAAGUAUCUGCGAUUGUGCAUCGAACCCUCAAUAAUUAGAUAGAGGUAUGGAAAGUAUAUUUUGUAAUUUAAUUUUAUUGUAAAACUAUGCUGAAACUCUCAAAAUAUGAUGAAAUGGUCUAUGAGACCUUCUAAACGAAAUAUAUAUUUAAUUAUAUAAAUGGUUAGUUAAGUUCCCGUGUAGUUGACAUGGAAAUUAAUUGAAUAUGAUGAUACUUAGACACCUAUAAGUUUUAGGAGUACGGAGAGUAUAUCUAGAUUUUGGAAGUAUAUAAGUUAUUUGUUUUGAAAUCCAUGAAAAUUUUGGAUUGUUCAAUUGGAAGGAUAAACACUCUUACCUUUUGGUAUUUUCUUCUAAUCUUCAAUGAAACAGACUGCAACUUCUUCUGGUUCAAAUUUCUUUUAAUUGAAAACUUGGUUUCCUACCUUCAAUUCUUCAUGAUAGAAAUUAUUAGUAGAUGUUGGAUUGCAUUACUUUGCCUGAUCAUAGGAAAAUAUAAAUUUUUUUGAAUGACUAGCUUGUAUCAUGAUCGGAAUCCUUGUUGCUGAAGAUUAUUAGCUGAUAUCCAACAAAUCUGGUCAAUAUUAGGAUCUUUCAAUUAGUACUGCACCAGUUAAAAUUUUGAAGUUAAAAUUGCAUAUUUUCAUUAUCUCAUGAAUUCAUUAUAUUGGAAGAGUUUUCUGGAUGGAUUCAGUCACAAUUUCAAUCAAUACUGCAUAAGACGGGUCUUUUAACUUUCUUAAAUCUCUUCAGUUAUAUCAUCAACUCAGUACAUUGCAAGAUAUGUUUGAAUGGCUUCAAUCAUAAAAUCAAUAAGGACUUGUUAAGGAGCACAACAUUAACAUUCCAUGCCAUAACCAUUCAUGUUAUGGGAUUUCAAUUUUGGAUGUCAUUUGUUUUGUUGAAACUAUACCAAACUUGAUAAUUUAUUCUCAUCAUUUUCUUCAUGUUCUUACAAGUAUUGUUUGUCUCGCUAUAAUUUAUUGCCUAACUAAUCUUCCAAACUGACUCUUGCACAUUUUGUGAAGAUAUCCAAGCAUCAUUUCGAUACUUUACAGUGUGUGAUAUUUGGCAAAGAAGACACUCUAUUAUCAUUGGAUUGCUUCCUUGCUGGAUUGAAACCUUUGUAGCGUGAAUCACUUGGAUACUUUUCAUCGAUUGAUAUUUAGCAAAAGAAAAUGCAUGCAUAUACUUCUUUUAGAAAACUACCCUAUACGUUGGGAUGCCCGAAAAUUUAUAAUUAUUACAGAUAAACGAUAGCAGAGGAGAGUUUUAGAUUACGAAAUGUAGCACACUAAAAAUAGUUUUCAUGAUUUUGGACGAAUGACAGGAACCGGUAUUCAACUACUACCCAAACUGUAAAUGUGUUGGGUGGGGCCCUGGUUGUGGAGGAAAUAAUGGGAAGAAGGCUCCAAUGGCCACAGUGAUGGAGCGAUACAUCGACAGAGGCAACCAAACAUAGAAAGAUUUAUUUCCCUGUUCUUUUUCCCAUGCAUUCCUCUAAUUUUGUUUAUUCCAUUUCCCCAUUUGUGCGUCCCCCGUUUGUGUGUUCACUUUGCAUAUUGAGUUUUUUUUUUCAGUUAGAUGGAAUUCGGUUUGAUUUUUUGGGCUUUUUUUGUUUAGGCUAAUUUUUUGGGCCUCUAGAAAAAAAUCCACUUAAUGAUCAUAUUUCAAACUAAAAAAUAUAGCAAACCAAUUGAGAUUAAAAAAAAAGUAGAAUAUGUGGUGGCUUGUAUAAUUUCGGUUCGGUUUGGUUUGGUUUUAAAUGAUUUGAGAGACCAUAAAACCGGAUCUAACCCAAAAAAUUCGAUUUUUAAAAAUCUAAAACCAAAUCGAUUGACCAGCUCUACAAAACCAAACCGAACUUAAUUUUUCAGUUGGUUUGAUUUUCUCGGUUUUUCGUAUACUCAUAAUUUCUAAUCAUAUAUGGUUUGCUAUGGUGCAUCAUGAAUAUUGAUUAACCAUACAUGAUCCAAGGAUUUACUUUCAUGUUCCGACAUAAUAUGUGGAAAACAAAAGUAUUUAUGGUUUAUUGAGCUAUUAAAAUUUCAAUUUGUUGUAUUCGGCCUAGGUGGUCGUGUGCCUUGCACAUGCUACUCUCCCUGGUAUUUGUGCAAGUAUAUAGACUAAUUGAUACAAUCUCAUGGAAUGGGCUUAGUAGGCAAUGCAGGUUCAACAUUUUCUUUGUAGUUUUCUGUAUUUUUUUCUUCAGGGUUCAAAAUGUUGCUCAUUAUAUUUGAUAUUUGAGAAAAUUGUGAGAAGGUUGGCAUGUUCCCAUGGGAUGGAUUGUCUGUGUUAACUUGGACUAGCUGUGCAGUUCACGAAAAAGUGCAGUAUAGAGGCUUUGAAAGAAUUGCCCUUCUCAUUUCUUUAUGUACAGAGUACCAAAUGCUGUACUAAUGUUCUAUAUUGAAGUGAAUGCUGAAUCAGCUCGGCUUCCCUUCUCACAAUUUUUUUCUUCAGGGUUCAAAAUUUUGCUCAUUAUAUUUGAUAUUUGAGAAAAUUGUGAGAAGGUUGGCAUGUUUCCAUGGGAUGGAUUGCCUGUGUUAACUUGGACUAGCUGUGCAGUUCACGAAAAAGUGCAGUAUAGAGGCUUUGAAAGAAUUGCCCUUCUCAUUUCUUUAUGUACAGAGUACCAAAUGCUGUACUAAUGUUCUAUAUUGAAGUGAAUGCUGAAUCAGCUCGGCUCUUUGUAGGCUCACGAGUAUCAAACGAUGUUGGCGGGACCCUCUCCGUGAUAGAAAGUUUAUGCAACCUCUUGCUUUUGGUUCCAGGUCAUUGAUUUUUUCUCCCUAAAAUGUUUUAAGGUCUUUAAAGGCUCUGUGUCACAAAUGUUAAUGGUGUUCCAAGUCUUUCUCUGCAUCCAUGCUGAAUUGUGAAUUCGUUAACGUGACUAGUGAGCAACAUAUGGCUGAUUGAAAAAAGAGAUAGUGCUGUGUGGUUAAUUAUUGAACUUGCAUAAAUUAUUAAGUGCUUUUCGUUACUCCCAGAAUUGGGAUCUAUUACCGACAUGAAUGUGGAAACUGUUCUUAGUAACUUCUUACGUUAGGAAAAUAUUUUUAUAAACCUAACCUGGUUGCCUGCCAGUGAAAUCAGUUGUACUGCAAAAUGAUAAAAGAGAAGGCGAUGCUCAGGAAGGACUUGUAUGCUAUGUAACACCACUUGAGAAGGCCAUGCUCAGGUGGGUAUCCAUUGUUAGACCUUUCUAAACCCUAAUCUUAGGAGACUAGGCUAUUUAUCCAAAAGUUUGGUAUGGGUGUGAAAUCCCCGAACACUUACAUAUUGCAUGUUGCAGUAUAUUUUGCGAUAAGAUGUUGUAAAUUACUUUGAACUAUAAUUGAAAUUGAAUGAACUUUGAACUAUAAUUGAAAUUGAAUGGGAUUUCGUGAAAUGAGAAAUUUCUAUUUUUCAUUCAUAUGAGAGGUUAAAAAUGUUUAUCUAUUAGUGAAUAUGAGCUUCUUUUCUUCAACCGUCGUAAAAAUUAGAGGAUUCAAGUGGCUAAAUUGGAUACAAGUAUUGAACAGAUACUUACUCUUGUCAAUUUUAGUGGACACAGGUACUUUGGGAGAAAUAGAAAAGUCCAUUAAACACAACUUAUAAGGAGUAGGACACUUCCAACUUGGACGCUGCCUUUUGGGGCAAGAACCCUAAGGGAGAAAUUACAAGGCCAUUUGUGGGACUGUACCAAAGCAGACAAUAUUUCUAGGUGGGGAAUGGGUCAACACAUUUUUCAUGGUUCAGUCAAGUUGAGCGAGCGAUUCACUCACAUGUUUGCUUUAAUGUCCGUAUACGGUUGACUUUGACUAGUAACCCUUCCUACUGACCAAGCAUAACGUCCUAUUUUACGUUGAAGGUAAUCCUGGACAAGGAGCAACUUAUUAUAUUCCAAGGAGCGUGUUGGCCCUCAUUAAUUACCAUUCAUGUUGAGAUUUUGCUCUUUGAAUUGAAAUCUUUCUGUCAAUCAUUUAUUCAAAUUGGUUUAAUGUUUUAAGACAAUGGUGUAGGAUGUCAUCGAACAUGAGGACAAAUGUGUUAUCUGCAAUAGUUUAUUUGGAAGCAACCAUAUCUCAAUUUAAGCUCCCAUACCAUGCAAACCAGGAAGAGGUACUUCUAUAAUGUUAGCUAGCCUUGUUGUUGUGGUUUUACAUUUUCAGUCAUGACGCCAAUUUCAAUUCAAUUUGAAAUUGGAAGGGGAAUUUUAAGUUCUAGAAUUUUUCAAGACUAGGUGGAUUUCUUUUUUUUUUUGAAAAAAUUAAAUCGGCA
rnacentral:lncRNA from 1 species